GGCAGUCUGAUCGUGUCUUCCUCCAUCCUGAUCGCUCGAGGCACUGGGACAUGUAGUGGUGACGAGGAAGUGUAAUUUGGUACUGGGCUGGCUGGAGGUGUGUACGAAAUUCUCUCUUGCUUGAUGCAGCACUGGGCAGCAGGCUCAGACAUCUCUCAGGAGGAGCUCCGCGCAGCCCAGCGGGCGGCCGGGAACUUCUGGGGCUCUUCCCACCUCCCGCUCCCCGCCGGCCCCUCAGGAGGAAGUUGCGGCCGCCACCGCGGCCCGCGGAGCUGCCCGGGGUCCCCUCCCCGCCGCCGCGCUCCGGGGGGCGCUCGGAAGCUGCCGCCCCCCGCCGCGCGUGGCCGUGUGCGCGCGUGUGCGGGACCGCGCGUGUGUGAGCGCGCGUGUGCGCGGGGCAGAGGGGGGAGCGCGAGGCGGGGGGAGGGAGGGAGAGGGCGGGCGCUGCCGCCGCGGCCCCCGCUGCCCACCAGUGUUUUCCUUCCUGGAAGAGAAACCGAAAGGCGGCGCGGGCCCGGCCGGCCGUGCCCCGCCCAUGGAGCCGGAGUUUCGGGGGCCCGAAAGUGACGCGGGGCGGCCCCUUUAAGAGCGCAGACCUGGAAGUGGCACGGGAAGUCCGGGCAGGGCGCAGCGGUGGCUCUGCGCGGCCUUACAGUAGGCGGCGGAGGCGACAAGGAGCCCCGAGUAGGAGUGCGGCAGUGGGGGGGUGGCGGUGUUCGCAGCACCACACACACAUACACACUAUGGAGAAGGGAGCUCCGCGCUUCGCAAAGCGUGGCACGGCGCCCAGUGGUCAGCACCGCGCCUUCUCCCAGCCUGGCGUGCUGGGGACGCGGUGUCUGCCAACGCGUGUGGCGCGGCCGCAGUGUGGAAGCGCCGGGCUCUGUUUUGCCGAUAGGGUCCCACACGUCGGGGUCCGGCGGGGCUUCCCGCAGCACAUCGGGCGGACACGUCGGGUCACGGGGCAGUGCGUGCGUGUUGCAGAGCGGCACGGCGCUAACGCAGGCGGGCGCGUACAGUUGGCCGAGCAAAGUGCUGCGCGCAGAAAGUGAAAUAGAGCUGUGCCGCGUUUGUUGGUAACUUCCACGGGAAUGUCGGGUGUGAUCUGCGGCCGAACGUCAGAGACGGGUAGCGUGGGGUGGGUUGCGUUUCCUUGUUUUGGAGACGGGUCACUUUGGAAUAGGAGGCUUGUGCUCGCAGCGGGUGGGCACCGAGAGCGCUGCUGGUUUUGGGAACGGUAAAACCUCUCGUUUCCUCGCCUUGGUGCAGUGUGUUACAGAGUUGUCUGGAGAGGGAUACAUCCACGGCAGGAGGGAGCCAAGGCCGUGUACCGGAGUCUUGAAAUUACUGACUGCUGACUUUUCAUUACCCUUAAAAUAGACCCUUUACAUUACAUACAGUGUGUGGGGGGCCGCGCAUGAGGUCAUACCCCCCCCCAACCCCCCUUGUUCCUGCUGUUUGCAUGGAUAUCUCCUGCUCUUCAGUCCCAGCCUUCAUCACAAGAUGUGGUGAGAAAGGCACCUGCUCUCCCAGGACGGGAGGCUGCUAGGAUCUGCCGGUAGGCAUCCUGGGGCAGGCUGCCACAGGCCAUUUUGCAAACCAGGACCAAAUAACUCCCUGUGCUCUCUUGCAGCUUGUUACAGCUUCGUUUUAAGCAGUCCGGGAAACUAAAGAAGAAAGAGGAAGGGAAAAUAAUAUUCCCUCUCAGCUUAGCAACUGAUGACUUUUUAAUAUAGGGCCAACUCAAUAACAAAGAAAGCUUAUCUACUCUGCUUCACUCUACGGGACUGCGCUGCUGGAGAAGAGUCAUUGCAUCUUGAUUGCUUUUAUGGUGCAGCUCUCUCUGCUAUUAUUCUCUCUGCUUCAUCAUUGUAUGACAUUUUCCCUUUCUUCCUGCAUGAUUACCUCUGGCUUUCCCCAAGUGCUGAGUCAUUAUUCUGUACCUCACAGCAAAGGAGCUUUGUGAUUCCUUAUGUUAAAUGUAGAAAUAAGAGAUGGAAAGAACCUGUUAGGUCAUCCACUCCACAUCCCCACUGGUAGAGUAUUUACAGCACACAAUCGAUCCAUCCAUGUUAGUUUUAAGUUACUUAGGUAAUGGGGCUUCCACCUCUUCCUUUUGGAGUCUGUUUCGUGGACUAACAGCUCCCAUGGUUGGGAAAAUAUUUGGUCCAUAUCUUCAUUUGUCCAGUUUCACCCAAUUACUCCUGGUUAUAACUGUGUAUUUUACUACCCUUUUUUUUUUUUUUUUUUCUCUUUUAUGGCUCUCUGUGCUUUUCACCCAGGUAUCACUUCUUUUCCUAGCCAUUGACAUUUGUUCUUUUUAUCUCCUUGUUUUAUCAGUUCCUGCAGCCACUUUGUCACUGUCAUUGGUCUUUAAUUCUCACCCAUCUCCCCGGCUGCUUUUAGAAACAGGUAACUUCCCCAGUCUUUUGUGAAUGUAGCCAAUGCUCCAUAAUGGUUUAGUCUGUCUGCAAGUUGCCUCACCAGCUUCAAAAUUUGUCAUCUGCCACCACCAUGAAUCAGUGUUAUGGACCCUCUUACUCUUCAAUGUUUCCUCUUGCAAUAUAAUUGUAAUCUCAUAUUCUCCAUGACAGCUAUGGUGAAGCUGUGUGUCCUGGGUCUAAUUUUUUUCUACCCGUGGUUUUGAUAUUCGCACGUCCACUCCUUCUGGGUUCUCUGGUAUCUAUGCAAAUCUUCAUCCAUUUUGGUUCCUCUCAUUAGUUGCAAUCUCCUGAGACCUCAGACUACAUGGUCCUGGCCACUGUGCUGUACAGGAGACAGGAAAUGCUACCACGUCUCCUGGUGAGCAGCAUGGUCUGUGGCUGCACACAGUUGCUCUGGAGAUGUGAGGAGAAAGCUUCUCCAGCUGUCAGCUUCCCUUUAGAUCUGUUCUGUAUGGACUUUGUCCAGAGCAGAAUGGAAGUGCAUUAGCUAAUAUUAAACCUGGAAUGGGCUCCCAGCUAGUUUCUUUCCCUCUCACCAAGAGUCUACUGCUCAGCUUAUCUACAGGGAGGAUCCUGUUGUUCAAAGCAAGAUUUAUGAUCUCACAGAGCCACCUUUCAUAGAUGCGCAUGCCAGAAAUCCCCAAACUUUUUGCUCAAAUAGGUGGUAGCAAUACUAAUUCAGGCAAAAAGUAAUCCUAUUCUAGCCUGUAAAGUGACACCAAGUUCCUGCCUUUAUUAGCGCUGUCAUGGGAGAGGGAGACUGUGGUGUUGGAAGGCAAGAGCAGGAUGAGAAAACUGUGAACUGAAGAAUGAUCUUUUUGCUUGUAGUGGCCUGAAAAUCUGGCAUUGGGUGCUCAUACUUUCUAGUCUAGAGUUUGUCCCUGAAAACAGAGCAAGCCCCUGCUUGUAGUAGGUGACUCCCUAUUUAAAGGCGCUGAGGCUCACUCCCCUCUGCUUGCCUGACAUGGCCAUCUGGAGAGGCCUCCUGCUUCCCAGGAGCCAAGAUCUGAGACAUUGCCAAGAGAGUGCCACAGCUUGUCAAGAGCAUGGAACUACUAUUUGCUACUGCUCUUUCAUGUGGGCAUGAAUGACAAUGGAAACUGGAACAUAGGCAGAAUCAAAAAGACUAUAAAGCCCUGGGAGCACAAGUGAAGAACACUAGUGCCCAAGUUAACUUCUCUUCAGUUUUACCAGUUGGAGGAGAGAGGGCAGCCAAAAAUAGAGUUAUAAUGCAUGUCAACUCCUGGAUAUGUGGUUGGCACAUGAAGUUUUUGUUUCUUAUGACAGUGGGACUUUCUAUGAAGAUUAUAACCUUUUAGGGAAAGGGUGGGAUCCACCUGCCUAGAAGAGGCAGGACCACCUUUGGCAGCAGGCUGGUUAACAUAGUAAGGUGAGCUUUAAACUGAAUGACUUUGGGAGUGCGAUCAAAAAUGCAAUUCUCAUGGCACACUCACAACUGGAGAAUGAGCCAAGCCAAUCAGAACUGUGAUAAAUGUUCCUUAGCUACCUCCCAUGACAUGAGCCUGAAGAACAGUCACUUCAACAGUGUGUAUAGCUAUGGGGAAUACUCCUGCAUUCCUCUAGGGAUACCUGCAUUCUCAGCUCCCUUUUCUUCUCUGAAGUGACUAUGUACCAAUGUGCACAGUGUGGCAAAUAAGUAGGAAAAAGUAGAGAGCAGUUGCAGGACCUUGAUUUCGUUGUGAUCACAGAGACAUGGUAGGACAGCUUGCAUGACUGCAAUGCUAUCCUAGAUGGCUAUGUACUUUUUAAGAAAGACAAGGCCAGUAAGACAAGAUAGUGGAACUGCUCUUUGUGUGAGAGAACAACUGGAAGGUAUUGAGCUCUGCCAGGAGAUGAAUGAUGAACCACUGGAAAGCUUAUGGGUGAGGAUUAAGGGGCAGGCUAAUAUGACACUGCUGUGGAUGUUUAGUUCAGACCACCUGAUCAAGAGGAGGAAGUUGGUGAGGCCUUCUGCAGACAGAUGAAAGUAGCAAUUUGCAAUCCUGGGCUUCAGGAGAGCCAACUAUGACCUCUUCAAGGACCUAUGUGGAGGUAUGCCAUGGGUUAGAGCACUGGAAGGUAAGGGAGCCCAAGAGAGUUGGUUGACAUUCUAGCACCAGUUCUUCCAAGCUGAAGAUCAGUGCAUCCCUAAGAAUUAGAAAUCAAGCAAAGGUGGCAGGGACACAUAUGGAUGAGCAAGGAGCUCAUGGAAAAAUUCCAGUGGAAGCAGAUAGUCUAUGGAAUGUAGAAGGGGGGUCUGGUCAGUUGGAAGGAGUGUAGGAACAUUGUCAGGGCAUGCAGGAUUGCAGUGAGGAAGGCUAAAGCCCACUUGGUAUUAAAUCUGGUGAGGGAGAUCAAGGACAAAAAGAAAGACUUCUUUAAGUAUGUCAGUAGCAAAAGGAAGACUAGGGAAAAUGUGGGUCCCCUGCUGAAUGAGACAGAUGCCGCACUAACAGAGGACACUGAACAGGCAGUUACUGAAUGCUUUUUUUGCUGCAGUCUUUACUGCUAAUGCUGCCCCUCAGAAAUCCCAGACCAUGGAGGUAAUAGAGAGAGAGUCUGGGGAAAGGAAAACUUCCCCUGUUUGUGGAGGUUCUGGUCAGAAAUCAUCUAGGCAGACUCAACACACACAAAUCUAUGGGCCCUGAUAGAAUGCACCCAUGAGUGCUGCGGGAGCUGGAGAAGUGAUUGGCAAACCACUCUCGAUUAUCAUCUUUGAAAAGUCAUGGAGAAUGAGAGAGGUGCCUGAGGACUGGAGGAAAGCCGGUGUAACUGCAGUCUUCAAAAAGGGCAAGAAAGAGGAGCUGGGAAAAUACUGGCCAGUCAGACUCACCUCCAUGCCUGGGAAGGUGAUGGAACAGGUUGUUCUGAAUGUCAUUUCCAAACAAGUGGAAGAAAAGAAGGUUAUCAGGAGUAGUCAACAUGGAUUCUCCAAGGGGAAAUCAUGCUUGACCAAUCUGAUAGUCUGUGAUGUCAUGACCAGCUGGGUAGAUCAGGGGAGAGCAGUGGACGUUGUCUACUUUGGCUUCAGCAAGGCUUUUGACAAUCUUUCAUAACAUCCUUGUAGGUAAGAUUAGAAAGUGUGGGAUAGACAAAUGGACUGUGAGAUGGAUUGAAAAUUCUCUGACUGGCAGAGCUCAGUGGGUUGUGGUCAGUGGCAUGUGAAGUCUAGUUUGAGGCCUGUGGCUAGCAAUGUUAUCCAGGAAUUGAUACUGGAUCCAAACUUGUUUAACAUUUUAGUCAAUGACCUGGGUGAAGGGAUAGAGUUGCACUCAGCAAGUUUGCUGAUGAUAUGAAGCUGAGAGGAGUGGUUGACAUACCAGAAGGCCGUGCUGCCAUUCAGCGAGACCUGGACAGGCUAGAGAAUUAGGCGGAGAGAAACCUAAUGAGGUUCCACAAGGCAAGUGUAGAGUCCUACAUCUAAGGAGGAAUAACCACACUCAUCUGGUACGGUUUAGGGGCUGAUCUGCUGGAAGGGAGCUCUGCAGUGAAGGACCUGGGUGUCCUGGUGGACAACAGGUUGACCAUAAGCCAGCAAUAUGCCCUUGUGGCUAAGAAUGACAAUGAUAUCCUGGAGUGCCUAAAAUAGAACAUGGCCAGCAGGUCAAGGGAGGUGACCAUCCCCUUCUACUCUGCCUUGAUGAGGCUACAUCUGGAGUACUGUCUCCAAUUCUGGGUUCCUUAGUUCAAGAAAAAUGAGAAGUUUCUAGAGAGAGUCCAUCAGAGGCCCACAAAGAUUAUUAGGGGCCUGGAACAUCUCCUGUAUGAGGAACAGCUGAGAGACCUGGGACUGGUUCAACCUGGAGAAGACUGUGGGGGGAUCUUACCAACAUUUACAAAUAUCUAAUGGGAGGGAGUCAAGUGGAUGAGGUCAGGCUCUUUUCAGUGCUGUACAGUGACAGGCCAAGAGGCAAUGGACACAAGCCAGAACAUAAAAGUUCCAUACACGCGAGGAAAAACUUAACUUUGAGGGUGACUGAGCACUGAACAAGCCGCCCUGAGAAGUUGUGGAGUCUCCUCUGGAGAUAUUCAAAACCUGCCUGGGUGCUUUCCUCUGUAACUUGCUCUAGGGAGCCAGCUUUAGCAAGAGUGUUGGAAUAGAUGAUCUCCAGAGGUCCCUUCUGACCCCUAUGGCUCUGUGAUUCUUUGAAAAGGAGGCUAACUAACCUUUCAAUGAGACUUUUAAUUUUCAGUGUGCAGCGAUGUGUCUGCACGCCAGCUGCCACCAGUUCUCCCUCUGUCACCAGCUCUCUUUCUGCCGUCACUUAUUCAACUGCUGGGCUAAUUUUCUCAGAUCUCCCUGAAGGAUGGAACCUGUUUAUCAAAGGAAUUUACACAUUUCAGAAGCUACAUCCAGGGUUUUCAUUUGUCCCUUUGUGUACUGUUUUUCCAGUUUCAGCAGUGUAGAGCAGUAGUUCAGACACAUGCAACAAUCACGGAUUUCACCUCACUUCUGAAUAAAGUUUGUGUUCAUGCUUUUUAUAUCUACGGAGGCAGUCACUAGUUCUAAGUGCCCAUAGUUAUCAUUAGCUCAUUCUACUGUUUCUCUGCUGAUAGCUUUUCUUUGCUUUUAUCUUUGCCCAGCAAAACUUAACUCAUUCAUUUAUUUAGUUCUUGCUUCUUUCUUCUUUUUGUGAUACUAGUUUCAUUUUCACCUUCUAAAGUUCAAGCAGACACAAAUAGUCACUUGAUGGUUUUUUUUCUCCUUUAAAUUUCCUGGAUGGAAAGAGGUGUACUGUUCCUCCAGUACACACUUUGCUAAGGCACAUCACAUUUGGGUCUCCUUUUGUCCCUUACCUCUGAAGAUCCUGACCCUAUAGCUCAGUCUACUGACAUUACUGUGUAAUCUCAACAGAGGUUACUCUUAGAGAUUCAGGCACAGCAUCAAGUUCUUAAGGAACAAAACACAGUUGGAGAUGGUAGUAAAUUCCAAGAAUGUGAAAGCAAUUAAGACGAACAUCGAUGUUAGAAUGCAGGGGAGGUUUUGAUCUGGAGGAAAAAACAGGAAAUCCAUGCAAGUUGGUACACAGAUGUGCUCUGAUAGGGAUCCCCCAUUGCACGUUUAGCACUAAGAUUCUUUUGUCCUUAGCAAAUUGAUUUCUGAAACUGAAGUGUGUUUUAAUGACCCUGGUAUGCAUCAGUCACAUCACUUUUCGUCAUUUGCAGUAAGAUUAGCUUUCAGUUCAUAAUCCCAGGGAAAUCCUUUUCCCAAGGUUCACUCAGGCUAAUGUUUCCUGUAGUAGAAGUCUCAUGCUUGGCUUUUCAGGAAUACAUAAAUACAUAUAUACAUAGGACAUUUUGAAUUAAUGCCACCUAUUUAUCUCCAUGGAAACUGCAACAGAUACAAAACACAAUAAUGCUAUUCGACAGAACUAGUUCUAAGCUACAAAACACCAUUUUUCAACAGUCACCACCAUUAGCUGAUUUGUGUGGAUGAGCUCAUCAAGAUGUUCCUCAUUUUGCAGUGUGACAGGCAGCUGUGCAUGGAUGUCUAGAACAUCACUUGUCUUUUCACAUCACUGUCAUCACUGCUGAGGUGCACCACUCACCCCCUUACUGUGCUCACAUCCACUGUUUGGUCUCUAUAAAUGCUCAGCAAGCAUUGAUGAAGAUCAGUGGGUGCCAUUUUUUCUGUUUGGAGGAAUCCAGUGACACACCUUUGCUUCAUACACCACUCCCAUGUCAGACACCAUUUUGUCAAACUGCCCCUCUGCUGCCAUCUGUCACACAGCGACAAAAUAUAAUGGAAUACUGUCAGGAAGGUUUAACCUCUACUGCCAUCUCACCAACAUCUUCCUCUGGUGUCAUGGACUGACAUAAUAAAAGAGGAGGCAAUACUUUUAGAGCAGCCCUCAUGUAUGUAAUUUGUAUAGAAAUAUAUUUUUAUGUAUUUUAGUAGAAAUAUAAAAUACAUUUUCUUACUUACAUACAUUAACUAUAUUAUGUGUUUUGUGAGAGCUGCUCUGAAAGUAAUGCCUCCUAUUUUAUGAUGUCCCAUGACAUCAGAGGCAGAUAUUGGUGAGACGGCAGUAGAGGUUUAACUUCCCCAACAAUGUUUGGUUACAUUUUGUUGCCAAGUGACAGAUGGCAGCAGAGAGACAGUCUGACAAAAUGAUGUCUGACAUGAAAACAUGUAUGAAGCAAAGGUGUGUCAUCAAAUUCCUUCGUAUGGAAAAAAUUGCACCCAGUGACAUUCAUCAAUACUUGCUGUACAUUUAUGAAGGCCAAACAGUGGAUGUGAGCACAGUGAGGUGGUGAGUGAUGCAUUUCAGCAGCAGCAGCAGUGACAGUGGGUCACCUCUGCUGGUGUAGAUUGUUAUGAGUACAGCACAGAAUCACAGAAUCAUCAAAUCCUUAGAGUUGGAAGGGACCCUUAAAGAUCAUCUUGUCCAACUCCUCUGCAAUGAACAGGGACAUCCGCAGCUAGAUCAGGGCCUGAUCCAGCUUUGCCUUGAAAGUCUCCAGGGACAGGGGAGAGUCUGUCCUCUUCUUUCCUGUAGCUCCCCCCUUUAGGUUUUGGAAGGCCACUAUCAGGUCACUUCCAAGCCUUCUCUUCUCCAGGCUGAACAGCCCCAGCCCUUUCAGUCGGUCCUUAUAGGAGAGGUGUUUCAUCCCUUGGAUCAUUUUUCUGGCCUUCCUCUGGACGUGCUCCAGUACGUGUGUGUCUGUCCUGUACUGAGGACUCCACAUCUGGAUGCAGUGCUCCAAGUGAGGCUUCACCUGCACAGAGUAGAGGGGCAGGAUCACCUCCCUCAGCCUGCUGGCUGUUUUUUUUUAGAUGCAGCCCAGAAUACAAUUGGCUUUCUGGGCUGCAAGAACACACUGCUGACUCAUGUCCAGCUUCCCAUCCACCAGUACCCCCAGGUCCUUUUUGGCAGGGUUGCACUCAAUCCUUUUAUCUCCUAGCUUGUAUUGAUAGCAGGGGCUGCCACAACCCAGGUGCAAGACCUUGCACUUGGAUUUGUUGAACCCCAUGAAGUUCUCCUGGGCCCACUGCUCAAGUGUGUCUAGAUCCCUCUGGAAGGCAUCUUGUCCCUCUGAUGAGACAACUGCACCACCACAGCUUGGUGCCAUACGCAAACUUGCUGAGGGUGCACUCGACCCCACUGAUAUUAAAUAGGUAUCGGUCCCAGAACUGACCCAUGGGGGACAUCUCUCAUCAGUGAUCUCCAUCCAGACAUUGAGCCAUUGACCACCGCUCUCUGAACUUGAUCCUGCAGCCUUCAUCCUUUGAACAGUCCUUCAUCCAUUGAACAGUCUACCCAUGUUAUCCAUAUCUUUCCAAUUUGGAGAGAAGGGUGUGGUGGAGUACCAUGUCAAAGGCCUUGCUGAAGUCCAGAUAGAUCACAGAAUCUCAGAAGUUGGAACGGACCUCAAGAGAUCAUUGAGUCCAACCCCUCUGCUGAAGCAGGUACCUUACAAUAGGUCACACAGGUAGGCAUCCAGCCACGUCUUGAAUAUCACCCUAGAAUGGGACUCCACAACCUCUCUGGGCAGUCUGUUCCAGUGCUGUCAACCUUACCAUAAAGUUCUUCCACAUGUUAGUUUGGAACUCUAUGUUCAAGUUUUAGGCCAUUACUCCUUGUCCUAUCACUACACACCAUCAAGAAGAGCCUGGCCUCCAUUUUGCCUCCCACCUCCCUUUAGAUAUUUAUAAACAUUUAUCCAGUAUCCUCUCAGUCUUCUUUUACCCAGGGUGAACAGACCCAGGUUACUCAGCCUUUCCUCAUAGGGGAGAUGCUCCAGACACUUAACCAUCUUUGUGGCCAUCCGUGGGACUCUUUCAAGGAGAUACCUGUCUUUUCUGAACUGAGGAGCCCAGAACCAGACACGGUAGUCUAAAUGUGGCUUCACCACAACAAAGUAGAGGGGGAGAAUCACCUCCCUUGACCUGCUGGCCAUGCUCUUUUUAAUGCAUUCCAGGAUAUCAUUGGCCUUCUUGGACACAAGGGCACACUACUGGCUCCUGAUCAACCUGUUGUCCACCAGGGCCCCCAGAUCCUUCUCUGCAGAGCUCCUCUCCAGCAGGUCAUCCCCUAACAAGUACUGAUGCAUACAAACAACAUCAGUGGCUCUUGCGUCGUCCACUGAUGCAGUUACACCAUCAUAAAAGGCCACUGGGUUGGUCAAGCAGGAUUUGCCCCUGGUGAAGCCAUGCUGGUUCUUCCGUAUCACCUGCCUGUCUUCCCUGCACCUUAGCAUAUCUUCCAGGAGGAUCUGCUCCAUGAUCUUUUCUGACAUAGAGGUGAAACUGACAGGUUUUUUACCCUCCUUAAAAAUGGACAUGAUAUUGCCUUUCUUUCCAGUAAUGAGGGAAUUCCCCUGAUUGCCAUGACUUUUCAAAUAUCAUUGAGAGUGGCUUUGCGACUACAUCAGCUAAUUUCCUCUUGUUCAUCGCUGGUGAAAAAUGCAUAGCUAAUGGUGAUGACUGUGUUGAAGAAGAGUGUUUUGUACCUGAGAAUUUGCUCUAUUAAAUAGUGCAGCUGUGCUCUUUGCAUCAGUUGUAGUUUCCAUUGAUAUAAUUUGGAGGCAUUACUUUCAAAGCAACCUUCAUAGUUGUGGCCCUAGACAAUUCCUCUUCACUCAGUGCGGCCCAGGCAUGCCAAAAAGUUGGACACCCAUUCUCUAAUCUGUGUCAUCAUCACGUGUUGUCACAUACUGGAUUAUUUUGAAUCAUCUGGUAUAUUGCUCCUGCAAAUAAGAGAAACACCUUUCUACUGCUGCGAAAGAAAAUAUUCUGGUAGGUAAGAACGGGAAGAGUUACUGAGGAUUGUACUGAUUUAACUCCAUUUCACUGUUCAUAGGAGUGCAGCUUCUUCUGAGGGACAAAUUUAUGCUUCUGUUUGGAAAGCAGAUGUCAUUGUACAAGUCACAGCUUCAAUACAUGUUGACAGUGCUACUGUUGGAAUGUACUUGGAUGCUGCAUCAACAAGUGGUCAUGACAAAGCUCCUGAGAGCUCCAUUGACACCAACCCAGCAAUAGCUAACCCUAUCAGAUUGGGUUAAAAUGCAUGGGCCCAGGAGAGCCCGUGUGCUGGCUGGGAGCUGGAGAAGGGACAGUAGCUUCUGAGCCACAGUCAGGCUCCUGAACCUGCCUGUCACUGUGGCAUCAGGACAAUAAGGGGAAAUGGCUGAGAGGAAACAGAGCAAGACUGUGGGGGAAAAUCAAUAGCAGGGAGCUGUGGAGGAGCUGGGGUAGGUGAAACCUCUCCAUUUGACCUACUUUAGCAGGUGUAGUUGUUUAGAUGGAAUUUAAAUCUCUGAAGAUAUGUGGGGAACUUCCUGACAUCACCCAAAGAUGGGCAGGGGCCAGGGCAGGGCUACACAUGUCAAGUAUGUGCUUAACCAUAACCAGGUCCAAACCCUUCAGUGCCAGCAGAGAUUUCCACGUGCGCUGGCUCAUUCUUGAGCAGGCAGAGCUCCAUAGGGGACACAGAAUCACUGGUGAAUGAGGUAAAGCACAAAGGUAUACCAAAAAUAGGAUAUUUGGAACACAGUUCUGCAGCGUGCUAGGUCUUCAGCUACCAAUUUCAGAUAUAAGCUGUACCUGCUUUGUCCUUAUGUUGUCCAGAACCGUGUAACAUCUGUCAAUACUGUUAACCUCAGGAAUUUAAAAUAAUUAGUUGUUAGUUAUUUAUAAUUAGUUACUUGUCUCUCACUCCAACAUUGCAGGAUUUUGAGGGAAAAGAUUGGGAAAAAAGAAAUAAAUUCAAAUGUAUCUGCAUAUUCUGAUCUUGCUUCUGGGUUUUGUUUUGUAAACUACUAUUUGCAAAUUUAUCCCCCAAAUUUUGAAUGCUAUUAGACUUCUUUUCUCUUUCAUUAUAGUCUUUUUUCCAUCUGUCUUUCACUCCCUCUUUCCCUUCCUCCCUCUCUCCUUACCCAGUUCUUUCGUCCCUCCCUGACUCCUUGCCUGCCUGUCUGCCCAUUUCGUAUGUAAUUACAUGAUUCAGACCAGGAGAAUUAAGGAACAGGAAAACAUAUGAUGAAACUGAAGGUAAAAGUAGAAAAGCCAUCAAACUAUGUGCUGUUACUGCAAAACAUUCUAAACAAAAGUAAACAAGAAAUAGAAGCUGAAGGGGCAGAGUUCAACAUUUCUGUCAGGUCAUGCCAAAGUGAUUUACAUUUUAUAGAUACCGUGGCUGGUUUAUCCUUCUCCUCUUCACUUACCUCAGCUGCAGAGGUGAAGCAAACUUUUCUCAAAGCCUAAUCCUCUCUAUUGGUAAUAUUUUCAGAGGCUGGUUCCUCUUCCCCCUCCCUUUUUCUGCAUCAUUUUCUCCACAGGGUGACAGGAUUACAGCUGUCGUGCCCAUUCUGAGUUGUGGUGCGCACUCUGUCAUCCAUGUCAUUCUAACUCUAUAUCUUGCUGGCAGUAAAAGAGUGACACAAAUUGUUUUCCUGCCAGAUUAACAUUGUCUAGUAGAUUUAAUGCUCAUAAUCUAAUGUGAGAGAGAACAUUAUAUGGGCAACAGAAGUCAAUCUGCUUGCAACGAUUGUCCAGCAUUGCUGAAAAUAAAUAAAUGAAUGCAUGAAUGAAUAACACUGCAGUUCUAGCCCUGUGGAAGCAGAGCACCAUUCUGCACUGUUCUGUACCUUCUGAGGCGGUGCCCUAUAGUGACAGUGCUGCCCAGCUGUAUGACCGGUAGGAUGACGUGGAAAUGCAGCAAAGGAGAAGGAGAAGCGAUAAAUAAAUAAAUGAAUAAAUAAAUAAAUAAGAAGGAAAGAAAGAAAAAUGAAAUAAGGGAGAAGGAAAAGGAAACAGGAAAAGCAAAAAAGGAAAAGGAAACUCGAGGUCGAGUGAGAGCAGUGUGUACUCAGCGAACUGCAGAAUGAAACCUUGGCAAAUGAAAAAAAUCAGUGUGAGUACAGCUUGUUGCAUAGAAGUGUGAUUUAUCUGCUUUUAUUUUCAAUAGUUCCAGUGGCAUCAUAAUGUAAGAUUUUAUAACCUAUUAAAUCAUGCCUGACGUUUAUUGUUGUAUUUUGGAGUGGAUACAUUACAGAUAGGCAGGAGCUGCACAGCAGUUUCUUCUCAGAGGUCUUAUUCCAUCCUCGUGCCCUUUUAUAACUUUAGCUCAGAAACUGCCCAAUGUUAACUGAAGAUAAAGAUUUUGGCCAAGAAUCAAAAAAUAAUCAACUUUUCAAUUACCAUUGAGUCGUUCGGAUCGCCCUGAUAUGAGGUGGCCUUUAUUUAUGUAGUUGUCUUCUAUUUCCAAAAGCAGAUCUGCAUACAAAAGGGUUAACAGCAACAGUCUCUUUGGGCUUCGCAGUAACCUUCAGAGCAAACAGGUUGCCCUUUCACAGGAAAGAGGUGGUAAUCAAUCUAAGUUGCUCACCAUUUUUUUUUUUUUUGUCUGUGUGUAGGGAGUGACAUAAUUAAUACCAGUAACUUGAGUUGACCCCAAUAUUAUGUUGGGAGAUGGCUGAGAAGAGGCAUAGAGGUGGGUGGAUAUGGGUGCCAAGGUCAUGUCCUUAUCUGGCCCAACUCUCCACACUUUUCUGUUGCCUAUGGAGGGUCUCCGUGAUGUCAGCCUGGACACUGUUCUUAGCAGCUUCCAUCUCUGCAACUUUAGCAUCUUUUCUGUAUACCAUUCACUUGAAUGGAAGGAGGGCAGCCUACUGUCAGGGGAAGCAGCAGUACCAGCAGUGAUGCAGGAUGUGGCACUGAAUGUUUGUCCUAUCCUGGCUCUUGGUGCUGGAGGACCAGCUGCCUCCUCAACAGACCUCAGGGCAUCCACAUGUGUGCAUGGUAGGACAGAGGCCUAACUUGUUAGAUGUGUUGCUCACGCACAACGUGCGCAACAUCAGGGAUGGCAGCAGCAGCAGCACCUGCCUGCUUGUGGUCCACUGCCCCUUCCUACACUCAUGUAGUCAGUCUCUCACUAGACAGGCCCAUCUGUGUGGCAACAUCCUGAAGAAAGCUGAGGCUAAGUUUCGAGUUGCACCGGUUGAGACAGGCUGAGAGAGCAACUGCAAGAAGAGAGAGGGUGGAAUAGACAAGUCCUGCCAGCAGCAGAGGGAAAGGGAAUAGUGAGACAGUGGAUGAGGAAGGGAAAAGCAGUGGAGAGGAGAUGAGGAGAAGAGUCUUAGCUCAGGAGGGGCUUCACCAGCCACUUCAGGAGGAGAGAGAUGAAAAGAUUAAGUGAAGGAAUGGUAACCUUGAUCAGAGGGACAUUCAGCCUACCUGCCUGGUACCUAGGAGGGAGCUGCCAGCAGUCAAGGGAUCUUUGCUAUAUCAUAUAUCACUAUGGUACAGGGACUUCUGUGACCAGAAGGAAGGCUGGCUUCAUCUACACAGUGAAGAUAGUUUCACAUUCCAGGGCCUGAACUAAGUGCAGGUAUCAGUGGUCACAGCUACCAUUCAAAAAAUAAAGAUAUAUUUCAAUGUUAGAUAGCAUCUUACAAGCAGUAAUUAAACUUUUACAACACCCAUGUGAGGUAAGUGAAUAAUUAUCACUCCUAUUUUAAAGCUAUGAAAGGAGAGAGGGUAAGUGGUUUGCCGAAGGCCACGCAAUGAGUCAGUGGCAGUGCUUCCAUUAGCAGGCAUCAGCUCCUGCUUCCGAGGCCUGUCCAUGAGCCACAGCAGCAUUGCAGUCUCCCCAUCGAGAGAUGAAAGCAAGCUGAUUUCUCAAGCACUUUGAUGAGAGAAGGAAGGUUAGAAAUAGCCCACGGCUGUUUCUGGAGAAAGAGUCAGGACAGAAGGAGAAUUUCUAAAGAGGAGAGUGGAAAAGUGCCAGGCUCAGGAAAGGGAAUGGUGAUAAAGUAACUAUUGAUAUGUGUGGUUAUGAAGGGAAUAAAGCUGGCAAACCAGAACCAAAUGACAGGGAAGAAAAAAUAGGUCAGUGGUGAAGAUAGAUUUGUCAGAGAGCUUUGUGGCAUUUGAGAGGCCUAGGGGAGAGGUGGGAAGGGAAUGAGAGGGGAAAGAGAGAUGGGGAGAAAUUCCAGUGAAGUGCAUACAGCAGCAUUUAAAAACUGCUGCACUUGGAGGCAGGGAAAUAAAAGCCACUGAGCAUGAGGCCUUUCAGUGCCUGCCCAAUUACAAUCGUGCUAUUGAGUCUCACUCAGCAGCUGUGGAUCCUGGAAUGGUCUGCCAGGCUAGGUAAGUGUUGGCACCAUCAUCUCACUUACAGGAGUACCAAGGCUCGGAGCAGUGUAGAAACUUACCUGUGGUUGUUCAGCAAGGCAAAAAUUAUUACAAUAAGUGGAAUGUGAAAUAGAAAGACAGAUAGGGACACACAGUUCUCAGUGGCAUAGGAGAGAACAAGAAAAAUGAUGACUGAUGUCAGCAGCCCAAAUCUAUUUUUCCUAGCUCUAGAAUACAUCAUGCUGAGUAAAAUGGCAGGUAGAGGCCAGGAGAUACGGAUCUUUUAUGUUUUAAACUACAAGCUAAGAAAUACUGGCAGGCAGAUACGUUAAUAUAUGCACAUGCAUGCAAAUGCACGUGGACACAACACAAUUAGCCUGACACUGGAUUUGGUAUUGUACAUGUCCUUAGAUUAGUUAUUUCUGCAGUUUCUCAACUUUCCUCCUUUUAGCAAAACUAAGAUAAUGACUCUUACCUACAAAACAGAGACUCACUUAUAACCUAGAUUUUGCAAUGCUAAGUGUGCUUAACUUGAAGCUGCAAAUGAGCACCCAUUUUGCUUUUUUGGUUGUCUUGUGCCACGGAACACAAGCCACAUGUCUGACAGUUGGUGGCUGCUACACCAGAAUGAGCAUCACCUGAAAAAGUAAAACCUCAGAAAAUAGCUGCCAUCAUUACUAGUAGACUCUGAAAGAUUGUCAGAAAGAGUAGUGUUUUCAAGGCCUAAGAAAGUGAGGUGCUUGAGAACAAAAGUUCCUCUUCAUUUCAAAAGCCACCCUUCCUAAACUCUGCUUCCUCCUUUCCCUGGCAAAAAAAUGAAGCUACAGCUACUUUUACCUUAGUUUGUGGAAGGCAGAGAAGCAUCUUGCAGUUUAAAGUAAGAGGAGGAAACCAAUUCAACAAAUCUGUCGAGUGAGUCAGGAAAGAGCAGUGUAUAAAAUAAAGCUUAUUUUUAGUAACACUCCUUUGGUUUUAAAAGUUAUUCCAACUUCACCUCUUCCUUUUUUUCAGCUUCACAGGCAGAUCAGAGCUCCUUCUGCCACCUCUCCUUCCACCUGGCGCAGAGGGCCAUGGUACUUCAGCUGUGCAGUGCUACCACCCUCUGGCCACUUCAAUUCCACAGUCCUCAAUCUGCAGGAGACUCUGAACUUAGUCGUAUGCCUCCUACAUCUACUCUGUAAGAUAAAUUUCACCCUUCAGGGUACCUAGUGUGUGAGAGAGUGAUUUGCACCUUCUGAUGCAGCUCUAUACAAUGCUUGUUUUGACUGAUUCAUUUUGUAAAGGGAUUUCAUCUGGGUGAAGGAAGUAGUUAGACUUAGCCAAAUACAGUCAUCCACCACAUACGGCACUGGGGUUUUUCUAAAAGGCCACCAUCCAUGUUAGAUUGGUGACUGAUUCCUGCUUGGAGGAUAUAUUCGGUGGGAUGAGACGUUCCUGGAUCAUUUUGGGAUUUAAGUGCUGGAAUGGCAUUUCCUGUGGUACCUUGACCAAGAGAUUUUAUCUUUCAGCACCUCAGCCGCACAGCUGUAACACAGAUAUCAUGCACUUUUUUUGCACAUGGGUGUUGCCAGGAUGAACAUAUUAAUUAUUUUGAUCACAUGGGUGUGAGCUUAUAAAAAUUCCAAGUUAUGUAGCAGUCUGCCCAGAUCACUCUAUGCUGACGCUACCAACACACUGAGACUUCUGCAGAGAUAGUUUUCAGUGGUGGGGAGCUUCUGUCCACCAUAAACUGUGCUGAGGCCACUAGCUCAUUUCCCAGAGCACAGCAAGAAGAUAUAGGGUGGGAACGAUUGGAGGAGCAAAAAGUAAUUUGGAACCAAAACCUAAAGUACUUGGAGUAUAAGAGCUAUUUCACAUACAGCUACUACAAUAGAAGAAAAGGCUUAUUUUGCUGAAAUUGUCCCAACUUUUCAUAUUUUAUGUAAGAAACUGCACAAUAAUAAUAAGCACAGAGAUAAAAAUAGGCUCAGAAGCAAAACUGUGGCUUCAAAGUUGAAACACCAUGUUCUAGCAUUAUGCUUUUUUUGUGCCAAGCAAAUCAUAUCUUUUUAAACCUUUAUGGGACAAGAAAAUGUGAAGAACAUAGGUAAUAAAGUACUUUCUUGCAGAAUCUUGCCAUCUGUGUAGCUCUUUAGGGGUGAUGGAGGAUCACUCUAGCCAUAUCCUAUGUGAAGGAGCAAUGAAAGCAUUCAUUGUUCUUUAUAAUUUCCUUGUUACAGCCUCUCCUUACAGGUGAUAGGUUGGCACACUCUUUCCUAGAAGCACUGUGGAUUAGGAGAGCUAAGACUGUGUAGAGCUCACUCUGAGACUUCACCCAGACUUCUCACCGGAACUCUAAAAUCUGUUUGAAGAUGCUAUUAUGUUUUUGACAGGAGCAUAAAAGAGGGAGCCAAGAGGCAGCACGCUAGCAUGAACCUUCACAUGGUUUUGUAAAGAAGCUGGUUCAACAAGAUGUCAGAAAUGGACAUUUUAUCUGCCUUGACAAACCAUUCAAUGGGUCACCGUGGGUGAAGUUCCCAGCUGGGCAACUGGCAUCCAAAUUGCGCUGGAUGAUUGAUAAAAGAAAUAGGAAUGGCUCCUCAGCCCUUUCAAGAAGAAUUUUGUCCAUUCUAACAGAUGUUCCUGCACAAGUUUGCCAUCACUCUAAAGCAAGUGUGUCAUGGCUGACCAACUGUGUCACCCCUGGGAUCCCCCAGCUGUAUCACUUAGUACCAUACCUGCUAUGGAGAGCAAGGGAGCACAGGCAUCUGGCACACUUCCUACAUAUCAGUCCCACCUGCAGCACCUUGUCACUGGGCCUGUUUGCAUCAGACAGAGCUGCACAAUGUGUAAAGUGCCUUUGUCAGCUAGUAUGGUGGAUUCUGGCUUAUAAUCACUAUGGCUAAAUAGAAAAAAAGCUUGACAAAAUCCACACUGCAUUUUUAAUUGCUGUUGGAAUCGUCAGAACUAACCCAUCCUGUUCCUGUUUCUCUCUUCCUGUUUCUGAUGCCCACACUCAUCAUGCUUGUGCUUGGCAGGGGUUCAGAGCUGCAACUGGAAGCAUCCUGAGGCUUGUGAGAUCUGAGUAACUGGUACUCUGUUGCAAGCCUAACAGCACAGAUCUCUUGGAGAACCACACGAUAUGCUUGAUUUUUAAACCUGUUGUUUUUAAACUAAUAUUUAGAAAUCCAAAAUAAGUUAGCUGUGCUUCCCUAAAGACAGAAUUAUUGCAGAAUAAUUGGGGUAGUUUCAAAGCAAAUGUGAAUCCUUAAUCACUUGUAAAUAUUGCACAGCAGUAACAGGCUGUCUUAACAGGAACUUGUGUCCUCCAUCCAACAAAUGCUUGCAGAUCACAGAAAACAAUCAAGCCCAAAGUCUAGAAAAACCAUCUCCAGCAAACAGCACGGGGAUUUCAUAAUUAAGCAUAAGUUGUGAAUGCGUGUCAGUAGUCUCAGUUUGGAAAAGAACAUUUCCUCAGUCAACGUAAAACAGUUUCAUGACUGUGAAGAAAGAACUGAAUGGGCAUUUAUUAUUUACUCUCUUAGGAAGAUCAGAAAUUAGGUGAUUAAAAUGUUAUUCACUGUUUUAAAGUGAUGAUACUUUUGAUCAAAUUAAUAAAAUUCUCAUUACUCACUAUAACCACAGUGUCUUCUAUAUGCUGAGACAGCUACAACCCUGCUACUCUUUUCACAAUUCAUUCGCACUCUUCGUUUAAUUUAUGUUCUUAUUUCUAAGAAUACUGCAGAAAGUCUAUGGGGAAAACAGAUUUCUUUUAUCUUCCCCAAAAGCUGGAGCAUGGAGUUAUUCAUUUGUUAGCUUUUGGGAAACAGAACAGCAUAGACAAAUGGCAGGAAAUUCAGAAUUCAAGUGCAGAGCAAGUAUCCGAUAAAAUAAAUAAAUGAAUAAAGCAAGCAAACAUGUUAAACCUAUUCUCAAUCUGAGCAGCUCAUUUGACUGGUCUUCUAGUUGCUAUAUUGCAAAGCAAAAGUUAUGCAUCUUGCUCGAGGAACACCACACAAAUUAGAAGAAAUGCCAACACUGGAAAAUGCAGUAGUCUUAGAUUGGUCUGCCAUUUGGGAGGACUGGUUUUCUGAUUACAUGACACUCGUCAUGUUUCUUUUUCUAUACCUGUUUUGUGUGAACGUUACUAACUCGUCUGGGUAAUGUUUUAUCUGGAGCUUUACUGUCCCUGCUGAAUUCCAUUUGCUUCUGUUCCUGUAAUGUACACAGUCUCAAUUUGGAAGACUAAACACUCUAAAAACUUUGGAGUUAUGGUUUUUGACUGCUCCACUACCAAUUUCUGUAUUCCAUAUAAGCUACCAUUUAAUUGACAAGUUAGAUUAUGAAUUAACUUCCCUACCACCUGCCCUGCACGUUUUCUGCAGUUAGCUAAAUGUACUUGUAGGAGGUCUGGCAUUUAUUUCUCUGAAUGACAAAAUGGAAUAGGCAACACUAAUCUCCUACAAGCAGACUUUCCUGCUCCAUUUUCAAUAUUUUGAUGAAUUCCACUGAUUUCUUGGUGUACGUUAGUGUAUAUACACAAAUUGGUUAAAAAAGUUUCUAUUUUAUCUAUUUAUCUAUUAUCUAUUUUAUUUAUUUUUUUCUAUUUAUCUAUUUUAUUUUUACCGAAAGCUUACAAUCAUGUUUCCAUGAUUACCAGUUAUACCUAAUUUUUGUGAUUGGGUGCACCAGACAGUUUGCUGAUGACACCAAGCUGAGUGGUAUAGUUGAUACAAUAGAGGGGAGGGAUGCCAUCCAGAGGAACC
rnacentral:lncRNA from 1 species